rnacentral:rRNA from 1 species
UACGUAGGGUGCAAGCGUUAAUCGGAAUUACUGGGCGUAAAGCGUGCGCAGGCGGUGAUGUAAGUCAGAUGUGAAAUCCCCGGGCUCAACCUGGGAACUGCAUUUGUGACUGCAUCGCUGGAGUGCGGCAGAGGGGGAUGGAGUUCCGCGUGUAGCAGUGAAAUGCGUAGAUAUGCGGAGGAACACCGAUGGCGAAGGCAAUCCCCUGGGCCUGCACUGACGCUCAUGCACGAAAGCGUGGGGAGCAAACAGG